rnacentral:rRNA from 1 species
AUUGAACGCUGGCGGCAGGCUUAACACAUGCAAGUCGAGCGAGCGGCGGACGGGUGAGUAAUGUCUGGGAAACUGCAUGAUGGAGGGGGAUAACUACUGGAAACGGUAGCUAAUACCGCAUACCAUCAGAUGUGCCCAGAUGGGAUUAGCUAGUGGGUGGGGUACUGGCUCACCUAGGCGACGAUUCCUAGCUGGUCUGAGAGGAUGACAAGCCACACUGGACCCGAGCACCGGUCCAGACUCCUACGGAAGGCAGCAUGGGGGAAUAUUGAACAAUGGGCGAAAGCUUGAUGCAUCCAUGCGGCGUGUGUGAAGAAGGCCUUCGGUUUGUAAAGCACUUUCAGCGAGGAGGCGUUACUCGCAGAAGAAGCACCGGCUAACUCCGUGCCAGCAGCCGCGGUAAUU